CUCGUUUUUGAUUAUCGUAAUUUAAUUUAAUUGUUUUUCGCUUUUUAAUUUGCUUUUAGUUUGGUUUAAUUGUUGGUUAAUGGUGUUACCUGUUUACUGUGUGUGGUUUGAUUUGUUGUUGUCUUUGUUUGGGAAGGGUUAUGAUACUUACCAAUCCAUUGUCUAUUGAUUGUGGUGGACCACAAUUUAAUAAUUCUUGGUCACCUAUGUCAUUUACAUUAUCGAUACGAUUAUUAUUGUGAUGGAGUAUCUCUGGACGUCUGACAUUGACGUAUGCAAAUUCAUUUCGCCUUGCGGCUAAGUUGGUGUCACCAUAGCUUGAUGAUUGAGCUGUAACUGGAUGAA